rnacentral:rRNA from 1 species
AUGUUUGAACAACCCAUCAACUUUCUGAGCUGGAACAUUAGGGGCUUGAACUGCCCGGAUCGACGCUCUACGGUGAACGCCACGAUCGCCUCCUCGUCGUGCCAUGUGGUGUGCCUACAAGAGACAAAACUCGGCAACAUCGACCGAUUCACCGCAGCUUCUCUGGGUGGCCAGAGGCUACGUAGUUUUGCGCAAAGACCGGCAAACGGCACUAGGGGAGGAAUCUUGCUGCUCUGGGAUGAUCGUCUUGUUGAGAUCACAUCCGUCUACGGCCCCACAGACCCCUCCUGUAAAGACGCUUUCUUCGCCGAGCUACUCAGCCAGAAGCCUACGACUGGGGUGGCAUGGCUCGCCACUGGUGAUUUCAACCAAAUCUACCGGGCCAGAGACAAAAACAAAAGAAAUGUCAACCGAAGCAGGAUCAACCGUUUUAGAGCAACGCUACAAAGCUGUGAGCUCAAAGAAAUACACCUCCAAAAUCGGCGUUUCACUUGGAGCAAUGAGAGGGAAACCCCAACUUUGUGCAAGUUAGACUCGUUCUUUUGCAACGCCGAGUGGGACGCAUCCUUCAACACCCACGUCCUUCAUGCUCUCUCCUCUUCCCUCUCCGACCAUUGUCCGCUACUACUUGCCGAUGAUAAGGGACCAAGGAAGCCUCGGGUCUUUAAAUUCGAAAACUUCUGGGCAUCCAUACCCGGGUUCCAUGAGUUGGUCCAAAGGGCGUGGAACGAGAGGGUGGAUCACACUGAGCCAUAUCAAAUCCUAUACUACAAGCUCAAGAAGACGGCUCUCCGCCUCGCAGAAUGGAGUAGGAGACUUUUCUCAAAGGCAAAAAUUCACCACCAUGCCGCUCUUCUGGUGAUCCUUCGCCUCGACAUCGCCCAAGAGGACAGGCUCCUCUCCACCGAGGAGCUCGACCUUCGGGCCAGGCUUAAGAGAAGGGUCAUCGCCUUGGCUGUGCUAGAAAGAUCGCGCAAGAAACAAUCCGCAUCCUCCCUCCCGCACUCGCGCCUCCCCCGCGCCCAGCUCCUCCCGCCUCGCCGCCUCCUCCUCUCCCCUCCCGCGCGCCUCUCUCCUCCCACCCACAUCGCCGCCGCCACCCACCACCUCGAACCGCACCGUCGGCGGCCAGAUCCGCCGCAACAGAGCCCCCCCACCCUCCCCAACGAUGAUGAGCAGCAGCGGAGGGAGGACGUGGAGCACGACAGCGGCGGCGGAGGGGAGCAGCAGCAGCAGGCCUCGCCGUGGCGCCCCUCGCCUCCUCGUCGCCCGCCGGGGGCGCCUGGUUCAGGGCCGCCCUCGCCUGCCGCGGCUACGUCGUGCUGUCGCUGCUCGCCCUCGCGCUCCUCCUCCUUCUCCUUGUUGGGUACCUCAGCCAGAAAAGGAGGGCACCAUUCACCAUGGAGGACUGCCGCGUCCAGUCUCCCUCACUCCCUCACUUCCUCCCUCCUGCCUCAAUACCCUAGCACCCAUGACCAUGGCGACUCCACUGGAGGUGCAGCAAGCAGGUCAGGUCCCUUCCCCUUCUUCUUUUUCUCCCUCUGGUGUUCCUCCUCUCUGCAUCUGAUGCCUGUGUGCGGUCGUGUGCAGGUGCUGUUGUGUGAAGGACAGGAGAAGAGGGUAGAGGAGAGGAUUGCUACUGUCUCACCUGCUUCUCCGUCUUCUUCUUCUACUACGUCCUAUGAAGUUUUGGGUAAUAAACUAUGUUGGUCAGACCAGGAGGCGUUGCCAUCGAUUAUAGGGUGUCGGACCAACGUCCUCGUGUUCGUGCAUCUUCAGAAGAAACGACCCGAGGUGAGUCGCCUCUGGUCCGCCGCACGAAGAGAGCGGGGGCUAGAUCGCAAGGGCAGAGUUGCAGUCCUCCAGGGCCGCGGGAAGAAGAAGAUGGGACUCAUAUACAAGCCUCCCUCUCGUGGUGAACACUCUUCCCUGGAAUUGAUGGAAGAUCUGCCUUGCAGCCUUAGAGGAUCCAUGCAUCGUGUGAUGUAUGGCCUACAGGCUACCAAUGCAACUGAUGUAGUCCUGCAUGACAAAAAUAAUUUAGUGGUGCUUGGGUCUAGGAGUGAACUGGUGAGCCAUUUCAUCUCUCCAACCAUCUCCCAAUUUUUGGUCAGGGUUCUGUACUAUAGGAGGAAACAAGAUGGGGCAUGUGGUUUUCAAGGAAAAAUAUUGGAACUGUCAUAUUGUCCUAUCUUAACAUAUGUUGUGCUCGCCAAGUUCAACGUCUGGUAUUCGGUGACAAGUCUGAAUGAAUAUAUUAACCUGAGCAGCACCUCCCUGGCUUCCUUGCCUUGCUGCUCUAGCACCAGCCUCGCCACCACUAAGGAUACCCAUCAUGUGUUUAGGAUCCCACACAUGGCGGUUCUUGACAUGCUUCGAGCACACCUUGGGCUAUCACCAGCUCAGUGCUUGCUGCACCCAUAUAUUUUUGGAGUAGAGGAGAUGCUUUAUGUGCUUAAUGGUGAGACGUCUCACAUGAUCUUAAAUAUGAUCAGCGAAAACCUGACUUCUUCAAUUUUUAGGUGCUGGAGAUGUAUAGAACAGGACGAAGUUUACCCUGAAUAUGCCGUCUAUCCCCUUCCUGAAGGCAAAGCUUGGGUGACACAUCUCUUGGCAGUGGCUUGCCUAUCUCUCGCUUCAAAGAUGGAGGAGACAUAUGUGCAGCUCCCCGUGGACCUACAGAGGAUGCAAGCUAUUACUGCUUGCUCAUUUAUUGACUACUUCCUUUGCAAAUUCAAUGAUCAUGACGCACCCUCCAUGCUCGCAUUCUCCUGCUCGACCGACCUCAUCCAGAGCACAGCUAAAGGCCGUCAUGCUUAUUCUCGACAUGCAAUGGAUUCUUAUGUCUGUUUAGGCCUAACCUCACCAAACUUUGCUACACUUCACAUCAUGAGGGAGGGAGGAUGCGUCCAUUGCAACACAAGCAAAUCAGGUGACAAGGUGUUUGGAGAAGCUACUCAUAGCUAA